rnacentral:rRNA from 1 species
GACGUAGGAGGCGAGCGUUGUCCGGAUUCAUUGGGCGUAAAGAGCGCGCAGGCGGCUUGGUAAGUCGGAUGUGAAAUCCCGAGGCUCAACCUCGGGUCUGCAUCCGAUACUGCCCGGCUAGAGGUAGGUAGGGGAGAAUGGAAUUCCCGGUGUAGCGGUGAAAUGCGCAGAUAUCGGGAGGAACACCGGUGGCGAAGGCGGUUCUCUGGGCCUUACCCUGACGCUGAGGAGCGAAAGCGUGGGGAGCGAACAGG